rnacentral:rRNA from 1 species
ACCUACGGGGGGCAGCAGUGGGGGAUAUUGGACAAUGGGGGGAACCCUGACCCAGCGACGCCGCGUGAGUGAAGAAGUAUUUCAGUAUGUAAAGCUCUAUCAGCAGGGAAGAAAGCAAUGACGGUACCUGACCAAGAAGCCCCGGCUAACUACGUGCCAGCAGCCGCGGUAAUACGUAGGGGGCAAGCGUUAUCCGGAAUUACUGGGUGUAAAGGGAGCGUAGACGGCUGUGCAAGUCUGGAGUGAAAGGCGGGG